UGCCUAUAUAUACUCAAAAAUAAUCUUAAUAAACUUAGUGUUAGAUCGACUUUCAUUGGGUUUGGUUUUCCUCAUAACCUUCCCUUACAUGUCAUCUCUCACUCA